rnacentral:rRNA from 1 species
GACGAACGCUGGCGGCGUGCCUAAUACAUGCAAGUUGAGCGCUGAAGGUUGGUACUUGUACCAACUGGAUGAGCAGCGAACGGGUGAGUAACGCGUGGGGAAUCUGCCUUUGAGCGGGGGACAACAUUUGGAAACGAAUGCUAAUACCGCAUAAAAACUUUAAACACAAGUUUUAAGUUUGAAAGAUGCAAUUGCAUCACUCAAAGAUGAUCCCGCGUUGUAUUAGCUAGUUGGUGAGGUAAAGGCUCACCAAGGCGAUGAUACAUAGCCGACCUGAGAGGGUGAUCGGCCACAUUGGGACUGAGACACGGCCCAAACUCCUACGGGAGGCAGCAGUAGGGAAUCUUCGGCAAUGGACGAAAGGCUGACCGAGCAACGACGCGUGAGUGAAGAAGGUUGUCGGGUCGUAAAACUCUGUUGGUAGAGAAGAACGUUGGUGAGAGUGGAAAGCUCAUAAAGUGACGGUAACUACCCAGAAAGGGACGGCUAACUACGUG